rnacentral:tRNA from 1 species
AUUAUUUUGACAGAUAAAUGUAUUAAAUUUAGGAUUUAAUUAUGUAUUUUAUAAAUACAAAUAGUA